CCUCCCAAAAGGUAACGGAGGCGCUCAAAGGUUCUCUCAGUACGGUCGGAAAUCGUACGUAGAGUGUAAAGGCAAAAGAGAGCUUGAUUGCAAGACAUACAGGUCGAGCAAGGAUGAAAAUCGGACUUAGUGAUCCGGUGGUUCUGCGUGGAAGGGCCAUCGCUCAACGGAUAAAAGCUACCCUGGGGAUAACAGGCUUAUCUCCCCCAAGAGUCCACAUCGACGGGGAGGUUUGGCACCUCGAUGUCGGCUCAUCACAUCCUGGGGCUGUAGUAGGUCCCAAGGGUUGGGCUGUUCGCCCAUUAAAGUGGUACGCGAGCUGGGUUCAGAACGUCGUGAGACAGUUCGGUCCCUAUCCGUCGCAGGCGUAGGAAAUUUGAGAAGACCUGUCCUUAGUACGAGAGGACCGGGAUGGACGUACCUCUGGUGUACCAGUUGUCCUGCCAAGGGCAUGGCUGGGUAGCUAUGUACGGAAUGGAUAAGCGCUGAAAGCAUCUAAGCGCGAAGCCAACUUCAAGAUAAGAUUUCCCACCGCAAGGGUAAGACCCCAGAAAGACUAUCUGGUUGAUAGGUCGAAGGUGUAAGUGCAGCAAUGUACUUAGCUUAUCGAUACUAAUAGGUCGAGGACUUGACCAAU
rnacentral:rRNA from 1 species